rnacentral:piRNA from 1 species
UGGCUGAAAUAUAAAGAGUAUCUCUGUG